UGGCUGUCUGCCAAAAUAGCCAAUUUGAGAUUGAUCUGAUAGCCUGAAUUGCAGCCAACUGUGCUUCACUCUCAAAGGUUGCUCCCUGUAAAACAAUCAUCAUAUAACUUGAUGAUCUUACUAAGCCAUUAAGGAAGGAAAGCUUUCUCCAUAGCCUCAUUGAAUCUGAUUUGGAACUUCUUCACGUCAGUGAAGAUGUUCGACACUCUUUCGCCUGCUGCAUUCCCCAUUCCAACUCUUACGUUCCCACGUGGUUGCUUCGACA